rnacentral:misc_RNA from 1 species
CACCUAGUCGCGGAAGGAUGAGUGAAGCUGUCUGGGAGCAAACUGUUCUUCUAUGCAGGA